CUUUUCUAGGGCCGCUUCCACAGCAUAUGGAGGUUCCCAGGCUAGGGGUCUAAUUAGAGCUGUAGCUGUCAGCCUAUGCCAGAGCCACAGUAACUCAAGAUCUGAGCCGUGUCUGCAACCUACACCACAGCUCACGGCAACGCUGUGAGGUCAGGGAUCAAUCGAACCCACAAUCUCAUGGUUCCUAGUUGGAUUCAUUAACCACUGAGCCACGAUGGGAACUCCUGGGCACUAUUCUUAGUGAAAUAGGUCAGACAAAGACAAUACCCUAUGCUUUAACUUAUAUGUGGAAUCUAAAAAUAAAAGAAAAAAUGAAUAUAAGCAUUAAUAUCACAAAACAGAAACACAUUCACAGAUACAGAGAACAAAGCAGUGGUUACCAGUGCAGAAGAGGAAAGGGAGAAGGGCAAGACAGGGAAAGGGCAUUAAGAGAUGCAAACUACAAAAUAUAAAAUAAAUAAGCUCCAAGGAUAUAUUGGAUAGGACAGAGAAUAUAGCCUAUAUUUAAUAAUAACUUCAGAUGAACUAUAAUCUAUAAAAAUUUCGAAACUAUGCUGUACACCUAAAACUAAUAGAGUAUUAUGAAUCAACUAAAUUUCAAUUUAAAAAAAUCCUAAGAUUGACGAAGUCUAAUUUUCCAAAUGUCUUUAAGUACACUCCAUCCAAGAAUAAUAUCACUUCUUUACUGGCCCCGAACCAGAGCCCUUCAUAGGGAUAAAGGUGCUGCACAUGCACUUAUUUAUUCACCAGGGAUUUAAAAGAGACAUGUAGGGUUCCAUGUAGGUGUAGCAUCUUCUGGACUGAAUAUGGCGAUCAGGAGCCUGCCUUAUUCCUUCCAUGUCAACAUAAGAAAUCCAACACUGCCAACCUGGCUAAAAACCUUUUCCUCCAAAGUCUAUGUCCUAAAAUAAAAAUAAAAGAGAAAACAAUUUUUCAAAAGUAAAGUGAUUUAAUAAGAAGCAAGCCAUUCCAAGAGAAGGUUUGGCUGGUCCUGUCUGGAGAUGGUUGUUUCACAGGGCACAGCCUCGUGGUCAGUGUGCCAGUGAACACGCAGCUGCAGGAUAAAAAAAGGAUCUUCUUGAUGAUUUCCAAUCUGGGGAUUUGGAUUCUAGAUACAUUUAAAGUUUUGGAUAGAACUCCAGAAACUCUACAAAUACAGUGUCUCUGUGAUCAGGUGCUGAAGAAGAAUGACCAUAUGAAAAUGAUGUCAAGAAAAAUCACCAGAAAGGCAGGUCACUAACUACGAUUCAUCAGGAAAAGACCCUAGUCAACAUCCUAGAGUUUAGCAGGAUAACAAAUAAACAUUAGCAUAGAUUUUCUUUCAUCCUUUACAUGGUAGCAGGACAAUGCAGUUGGAAGGUCAAGAAAAAUAAUAAGAAUCAGUGACCUACAAUGAAGAGAGAGGUUGAACAAUAAUGCCUGGGAUCUUGGUUCUGCAACCCAAAAUGUGUGGAUGGGAGCCAAUGACUUUUUGAGCCUCAAAUUCCUUGUCAGAAAAUUAUAAGGUCAUCGAAUACAGUAUUGAGCUGUCUCCCACAGACGCUGUAUGCUCUUAAGUAUUAUAAGUAGUUUGCAACUAUAUAAAUUUCCACAUAAAUAAUAAAUGAUUGUUAAUGUUGAUGCUGGAUUUGGGAAAAAAAAGUAAUUAGAUACUAGUUUCAACUCCAAAAUUUACAAAGGGAAAACUGUCAAGGAAAAUGGAUGUAUUGUCCUUCAGUUUUACUAGAAGGCAUCCCAUUUAGUGAAAAAGCAGAGAAAGGAAGCUUCUACCCCAAAACUGCAGGAAGCAUUUUGUUUCUAGAAGGGUGAGAUCUACAUCCUAAAGAAAACCAGUGUGACCUAGUGGUCUCAGUACAUUAAAAUGAAACCAAGGCCCCAGUGCUUUUAAUACACCAUGGUGACUUCUGUUAUUCAAAGGGGUUGUGAAAAUAUCAGGAGAAAUAGGCUCAAAAGGUGAUUAAAUUCAUCUUACACUAAUUAAAGAAAAUACAUAAGAAAGGUAAUAAGGAGUUCCUGUUGUGGCUCAGUGGUUAACAAACCUGACUAGUAUCCAUGAGGAGCUAGGUUUGAUCCCUGGCCUUGCUCAGUGGGUUAAGGAUCUGGCAUUGCCCUGAGCUGUAGUUUAGGUCACAGACACAGCUCGGGUCUGGCGUUGCUGAGGCUGUGGCUGUGGCUGUGGCUGUGUUGGGCAGCUAUAAGCUCUGAUUCGACCCCUAGCAUGGGAACCUCCAUAUGCCUUGGGUGUAAUGUCAAGUCAAAGCAUGUCAGGGUGGAAAGGGGAAGUACCAGACCAUUUGUUUUUCGUAUAAAGCAAAAGAAGCCCAGGAGGGUCCCCAAACUGGAAUGCAACAGACCUUGGACUGAAAGCCCAUCCGGCAGGGUCCAGGGACAGGGAUGACAUCCAAAGAAAAAGAAGUGUUACUCCAAAGGGAUUUACUGGUCAUCUGCUCACCGUGAGUCCCUAGGGCUUCCUGAUGCACCAUGUACACAGACUGCAGGCCAGUGUGGUAGUGACAAAGACCAUGGCAACAAGUGACAGUCAUCCAGAGUAUAUACACUACUUGCAAUAAUAAUAGGGAAGGAAAAAUAAAGAUCAGACACUGCCUCUGUAGCCCAGAAGGAUCUGGGAUAAACUAACUGAUCAGGAAGGAGCAAUACUGUUUCUUGGGUUGCUUAGAUUGGCCAUCUCUGAAAAAAAGCAAUUUUAUUUACUGGGUGAAAAUCUGCUUGAAAAAGGAAUCCUUAUACAGUGUACAUUAUGCCUCUCUGGUUUGGAACAGAGCUUUUGUUCAAUUGCAGUUAAUAACUUCCUAGAUAUAAGGGCCAGUAAUUGGUUUAUAAUUAUGAUGGCGCUAUCACAAAUCAUGUUUGUUUUCUCUAAAAAUCUAUCUACAAGUAAAUGGAGUAACUACCCCAAAAGUUGCACUAGUCCUUAUCUUUCUUUUAAGUGGUCUUAGUAGCCAUAUUCCUCUUCUUUACAUAUGACACUACAUUAGUGAAGGCAUCUAACGAAACGCAAAAACAAUUUGCUCUGUAAUAUAUUUGUAUUAAAAUACAGAAAAUGAUUUCAUAGUACUCCUCUAGCAUUACGUAUUGUUUUGUUUUUAGCUCUCUGCAUGUGUUAAGUUCAAUAUGUAUAUAACUCUUUGGACUGGUAUUUUUUACCUUGUCGGAAAUAUUCCAAUAAUCUAAAAACAGCUUGAAAACAGCUGUACCAUGUGUAGAAACUCAUCUACAACUAGUGCCUCCAUCCUAUAUAAGCUAAGAGCUAUCUGUUUGUAUAACCCCCACCCCCUGCCCAGCCCAGCAUGCACUUGUUGGAAAUGUGUCCUUUUUGAAAUAAAUUUGAUGUGGUAGGUAUAAUACACAUUUACUCCUUCCACUGGACUCUUUCUUUAUCAAAUAUUCAUUAAAGUAAGUGCCACUUUAGUGCAACAGUGCUUAAAGAUAUGCUGAGAUUCAUGGCAGUCAGCUGUAAACAAAGGAAGCCCACAGGGGAUCAAGUGUUUUCUGAAGUGGUAGAAUCAGGGCAUCUGGGCUUGUCUUUUUCUCCAAAAACUGAAAUUUGUCAGAUACCUCCCAGAUGCACUAGAACCAGCCAUGGUAAGAGCUGAAGUGCUCAUUUUCAUACAAAUUUUACGACCAAUGGUCAUAUUGGUGUUGUCUCUAGACAGACCAUGUCUUCACCAAUCAUUGGUUCCUAAUCUUUUUUUUAAUACAAUGUUGAUCAUUAGUUUUCUACUUCUGUUAACUAUUUUCUGUCUCUAAAAAAUUAAUUGAUGGAGUAGUUUCUUCAAGGAUAGCCGAGUAGAAUACAAACUAUUCUGCAAAGAAAGAUAAGAGGCAAAUUUAACGUUCCACUCUCUGAAACAAGGUGGGAAGUUUGACCAUCACCAAAAACACACCUGCUUUUAACACAGACAACUCUACCCAAUAUUCUGUGACCAUCUGGGUGGGAAGAGAAUCUGAAAGAGAAUGGAUGUGUGUACAUGUAUAACUGAUCACUUUGUUGUAUAGCAAAAAUUAUCACAACCUUGUAAAUCGACUAUACUUCAAUAAAACUUUUAAAAAAUGAAAAAAAACAAAACACAGCAGUGCUUAGCAUACACUCACUUAGCAGCUCUUUCUAUGGCAAAGGCCAAAGGGUGUCAGGCAAAAGGAAAGCAGUACGUGGAGGGUGAGUAUGGACCCCUUAAUCCUACACACUAGGGCACAAUGUCUUCUCUUUCCUGGACUUGGAAAGUGGCAAAAAGUCUUAAACUCCCAGAGCUCCUGAGGAGAUCACCCAGACAAGCACCUCACCCAAGAUCAUGUCCAAGAAAAUCUCAGAAGUCACUCUGCUGACAUAUGUCCUUGUAAAGCCUCUGCCCCAUAAGACUGGCAGACCCUAGGUCUCAGGUCAUGCUUGCUGGAGAAUGAAUGAGCAUCUCUGAAACAGACCCCACUUAAGACUGAUACAGAACCACAGAUCCCACUGAUGCCCAGCUGGCCCCAGGAAGAUGCCCCUGUAGGAGCAGGGAACCAGAGUCAGGACCCCACCAGAGGGUGUGGAAAGUCAGCAUGCAAGGAACAGGGGAGCAAACAUCCAGUACUUAAUCCACCCCUUGCCCACAUGUCCCCCGGGCUGCCAACACAGAGGCCUCCCUGUCCUCUUCUGCAGGCCCAGCAGAUAGGCUGGUGCAGGCAAAUUUCGGCGUUGGCUGUACUUGGCCAUGCUGGAUGUGAGAGACAUGCACGUUCCUGUGGUUGGCUGUCUGGGCCCACUUGACUUUGAAGGUUUUGUGUUUUGCUAACAGCCGCUGGGGUCCUGGGUAGCCUGUUACGAAAGUCUUGGUCACUGGACCCUGGACAAUCUUGAAUUCUAACACCACCAUGUAGAGUGUACCUGUGUCACUCUACCCUGAGCUGUCACAUGUAGGGACUUGAUAAAAGAAAUGUUCACAUGGUGAGGUACAGGGAAGCCAUUCUAGCUUAUGCAUGAGCUAACUUGAGUUUUCUGCCAACUAGAACAAUUAGCCUAUUUGUGUCCUCUCAACAUACACUGUACAUCAUUGCAGAAGCAAUGUCCACAUUAAAAACACAUAUUGAAUAAAUGUACCCCUUCCUGGGAUACCAACACUGGUCCUCCUUUGAUGAUAAGACUCCCUUCCCAGGUGCCAAGGCCACCCUGACCUGCUGUGGACAUGCUGGUUUGUUUUUCUGAAAGCUCAAGGAAUGUAACCGAUUUGUGUGAUGUUGCGUUCUAAGAAGACACAAAACUGUGUGGGAAAGCCUGCUUCUCUGGAGUAGCUACUCAGCACUAUUUCAGAGGCUAUCCUCUGGCCUAGACCCCUCAGUUUGGCUUAAGUAAAACUUGUCUAUUUUUAUCAUAGAUUGUUUAUUGAUUCUUUUCGUUGAGAGACGCUACCUUUGAACAUUCAACACGACUUAUCAAUUCAAUGGUCAGUCAUGCUUGGGUGGUGAAGUCUAGGCCAGAAGAAAAGGUCCAGAGUCUGCCCCAUUAUAGUGGGGGUG
rnacentral:lncRNA from 1 species